AUAAUUCCCAAUUUUUUUUCAUUUCACGCUUCUCUUCUCUGGUUUCCCUAAAACCUACUCUCACCUCUGGUAUUUCAUUUCCCGCUUCUAUCACCUUCCCCUCUCUGAUUUCUCUUCUCUUCCCCUCUCCGUUUCUCUGGGCAGGAAAUCAAUACUAGCAGCACACACCGCACUCCCCACCGUCGCGUCGCCGUUGCUGCUCCCCACCGUCACAUCGCCGUUGCUGCUCCCUACCUCAGCGUCGCCGUUGCUUCUCUCCACCGCCGCGUCGCCGCUGUUGUUCCCCCACCACAAAAUACGUCCUCUUCCUUCCGCCGCCACAACACAAAGGCGUCGCUCCUCCUUAUCUCAUAUAGACGAAGGAGAGAUUGGGCAGAUAUGGUGUCAAAAUCGUGCGUCGUCCGACUCAAAUGGCUGACAAACCUCCUCCUAUUUACAAAGAGGUAUUCAAUAAUCCGAAGGAGCGACCUUUCACUUUUGAGGAGAUAGAUGAAGUUCGAGAAAUGUUGGCAAACUCCAUUACUAGUGAUUGUCUUUGAUAUUUCCUUGUAAUGAAUCUUAAAUUAUGGAUGCUAGUUUUUCAUAUAAUUGGAAUGUAAACGACUUUUAUAUUUACAAUUAUAUACUAUUUAAUUUAAUUA